rnacentral:lncRNA from 1 species
GUUCAGGAGGGUGGAUUGGAUCUAAAGAGAGUGGCGUUGUAGUGGGUAUUAAUAAAAGAAAGCAAUUCUUAGCGGAAAAAAAGAAGUGUGCUUUUUGAAUGCCCCAGUUUAGUUUCUGUGUAAGGAAGUGAGAAAGAGAGAGAGAGAGAGAGAGAGGUGAUGAUGGACGUGAAAGGAGUAAAAGUGUGGGCAAUGGGUAUGCUUGUGAGCUGGAUUUUUAUAACAAAAUUAUAUGAAAUAAAAUAAAGGAAACUGAUUUGUCUUAGGCUUUGAUUAGAAGAAGAAGAAGAAGAAGAAGAAGAAGAAAAGAACUUGUUUUUACAAAUUAC